CAGUCGAGCGGUAGCACAGAGAGCUUGCUCUCGGGUGACGAGCGGCGGACGGGUGAGUAAUGUCUGGGAAACUGCCUGAUGGAGGGGGAUAACUACUGGAAACGGUAGCUAAUACCGCAUAAUGUCGCAAGACCAAAGUGGGGGACCUUCGGGCCUCAUGCCAUCAGAUGUGCCCAGAUGGGAUUAGCUAGUAGGUGGGGUAACGGCUCACCUAGGCGACGAUCCCUAGCUGGUCUGAGAGGAUGACCAGCCACACUGGAACUGAGACACGGUCCAGACUCCUACGGGAGGCAGCAGUGGGGAAUAUUGCACAAUGGGCGCAAGCCUGAUGCAGCCAUGCCGCGUGUGUGAAGAAGGCCUUCGGGUUGUAAAGCACUUUCAGCGGGGAGGAAGGCGGUGAGGUUAAUAACCUCGUCGAUUGACGUUACCCGCAGAAGAAGCACCGGCUAACUCCGUGCCAGCAGCCGCGGUAAUACGGAGGGUGCAAGCGUUAAUCGGAAUUACUGGGCGUAAAGCGCACGCAGGCGGUCUGUCAAGUCGGAUGUGAAAUCCCCGGGCUCAACCUGGGAACUGCA
rnacentral:rRNA from 1 species